GGGUUGUGAGGUUAAGCGACUAAGCGUACACGGUGGAUGCCCUGGCAGUCAGAGGCGAUGAAGGGCGUGCUAAUCUGCGAUAAGCGCCGGUAAGGUGAUA
rnacentral:rRNA from 6 species